rnacentral:rRNA from 1 species
AAAUUGAAGAGUUUGAUCAUGGCUCAGAUUGAACGCUGGCGGCAGGCCUAACACAUGCAAGUCGAACGGUAACAGGAAACAGCUUGCUGUUUCGCUGACGAGUGGCGGACGGGUGAGUAAUGUCUGGGAAACUGCCUGAUGGGGGGGAUAACUACUGGAAACGGUAGCUAAUACCGCAUAACGUCGCAAGACCAAAGAGGGGGACCUUCGGGCCUCUUGCCAUCGGAUGUGCCCAGAUGGGAUUAGCUUGUUGGUGGGGUAACGGCUCACCAAGGCGACGAUCCCUAGCUGGUCUGAGAGGAUGACCAGCCACACUGGAACUGAGACACGGUCCAGACUCCUACGGGAGGCAGCAGUGGGGAAUAUUGCACAAUGGGCGCAAGCCUGAUGCAGCCAUGCCGCGUGUAUGAAGAAGGCCUUCGGGUUGUAAAGUACUUUCAGCGGGGAGGAAGGGAGUAAAGUUAAUACCUUUACUCAUUGACGUUACCCGCAGAAGAAGCACCGGCUAACUCCGUGCCAGCAGCCGCGGUAAUACGGAGGGUGCAAGCGUUAAUCGGAAUUACUGGGCGUAAAGCGCACGCAGGCGGUUUGUUAAGUCAGAUGUGAAAUCCCCGGGCUCAACCUGGGAACUGCAUCUGAUACUGGCAAGCUUGAGUCUCGUAGAGGGGGUAGAAUUCCAGGUGUAGCGGUGAAAUGCGUAGAGAUCUGGAGGAAUACCGGUGGCGAAGGCGGCCCCCUGGACGAAGACUGACGCUCAGGUGCGAAAGCGUGGGGAGCAAACAGGAUUAGAUACCCUGGUAGUCCACGCCGUAAACGAUGUCGACUUGGAGGUUGUGCCCUUGAGGCGUGGCUUCCGGAGCUAACGCGUUAAGUCGACCGCCUGGGGAGUACGGCCGCAAGGUUAAAACUCAAAUGAAUUGACGGGGGCCCGCACAAGCGGUGGAGCAUGUGGUUUAAUUCGAUGCAACGCGAAGAACCUUACCUGGUCUUGACAUCCACGGAAGUUUUCAGAGAUGAGAAUGUGCCUUCGGGAACCGUGAGACAGGUGCUGCAUGGCUGUCGUCAGCUCGUGUUGUGAAAUGUUGGGUUAAGUCCCGCAACGAGCGCAACCCUUAUCCUUUGUUGCCAGCGGUCCGGCCGGGAACUCAAAGGAGACUGCCAGUGAUAAACUGGAGGAAGGUGGGGAUGACGUCAAGUCAUCAUGGCCCUUACGACCAGGGCUACACACGUGCUACAAUGGCGCAUACAAAGAGAAGCGACCUCGCGAGAGCAAGCGGACCUCAUAAAGUGCGUCGUAGUCCGGAUUGGAGUCUGCAACUCGACUCCAUGAAGUCGGAAUCGCUAGUAAUCGUGGAUCAGAAUGCCACGGUGAAUACGUUCCCGGGCCUUGUACACACCGCCCGUCACACCAUGGGAGUGGGUUGCAAAAGAAGUAGGUAGCUUAACCUUCGGGAGGGCGCUUACCACUUUGUGAUUCAUGACUGGGGUGAAGUCGUAACAAGGUAACCGUAGGGGAACCUGCGGUUGGAUCACCUCCUUACCUUAAAGAAGC